CCAUGUUUUUGUUUGUUGUUCGUUUGUUUUUGCUAGGUGGCUGUGGUGCCACACCAAGGUUAAAAUCUGCUGCCUUAAGUACGGAAGAUGCGACGAAGAAUUACAGUCCUCCUGGGACCACUGUGAGUUAUGUCUGUCGUCCAGGAUAUGAGAGCACCGAACUGAGACCUGUCAUUACUUGUCUUGAGAAUUCAACAUGGUCAGAAGCCCCUGAGUUCUGUAGAGGGAAAUCGUGUGGUGUUCCAAAAGGACCAGAGCAUGGCAGAGCUGUUGAUAUAACAAAUUACCAGUAUGGUGCAAGAGUAAACAUCCUUUGUGAUGAAGGUUUCAGAUUACGUGGGCAGAGUUCCAUCCAAUGUAUGCUGAAGGG